CCAGACUCCUACGGGAGGCAGCAGUGAGGACUCUUUUUCAAUGGCCUGCCGGCUGAACCCGCCCCGUCGCGUGCUGUCCUAAGGCCCUAUUGGUCGUAAACCUCUUUUGUCAGGGAGCCACGGCGUCCCCGUGUGGACGAGAGGAGAGUACCUGAAGAAAAAGCAUCGGCUACCUCCGUGCCAGCAGCCGCGGUAAUACGGAGGAUGCGAGCGUUAUCCGGAUUUAUUGGGUUUAAAGGGUGCGUAGGCGGAGUGUCAAGUCAGCGGUAAAAUUUCGGGGCUCAACCCCGUCGUGCCGUUGAAACUGACGCCCUUGAGUGAGUGAGAAGUAAGCGGAAUGCGUGGUGUAGCGGUGAAAUGCAUAGAUAUCACGCAGAACGCCGAUUGCGAAGGCAGCUUACCGGCGCGCAACUGACGCUGAGGCACGAAAGUGCGGGUAUCGACCAGGAUUAGAUACCCCCGUAAA
rnacentral:rRNA from 1 species